GACGAACGCUGGCGGCGUGCUUAACACAUGCAAGUCGAACGGAAAGGCCCUGCUUUUGUGGGGUGCUCGAGUGGCGAACGGGUGAGUAACACGUGAGUAACCUGCCCUUGACUUUGGGAUAACUUCAGGAAAUUGGGGCUAAUACCGGAUAGGAGCUCCUGCUGCAUGGUGGGGGUUGGAAAGUUUCGGCGGUUGGGGAUGGACUCGCGGCUUAUCAGCUUGUUGGUGGGGUAGUGGCUUACCAAGGCUUUGACGGGUAGCCGGCCUGAGAGGGUGACCGGCCACAUUGGGACUGAGAUACGGCCCAGACUCCUACGGGAGGCAGCAGUGGGGAAUAUUGCACAAUGGGCGGAGGCCUGAUGCAGCAACGCCGCGUGCGGGAUGACGGCCUUCGGGUUGUAAACCGCUUUCGCCUGUGACGAAGCGUGAGUGACGGUAAUGGGUAAAGAAGCACCGGCUAACUACGUG
rnacentral:rRNA from 1 species